UACGAGGGGGGUGAGCGUUGUUCGGAAUUAUUGGGCGUAAAGGGUGCGUAGGCGGUUUGGUAAGUCUUAUGUGAAAUCUAUGGGCUCAACUCAUAGUCUGCAUGAGAAACUGCCGGGCUUGAGUAUGGGAGAGGUGAGUGGAAUUCCUGGUGUAGCGGUGAAAUGCGUAGAUAUCAGGAGGAACACCUGUGGCGAAAGCGGCUCACUGGACCAUAACUGACGCUGAUGCACGAAAGCUAGGGGAGCAAACAGG
rnacentral:rRNA from 1 species